UGCGGCGCGGCGCGCGCAUUGGAAUAUGCUUGUGAAUGAUUUUUGUAUAUAGGAGAGAAUGUAAAUAUGCAAGUAUGAAUGUGAUAGUUUUUUCGGCACGAUACCCGCUCUCUCCGCUGCCUUUAUAAGGACUCGUACGGGCUAUCUGAGCUCACUAGCCAAAGCGCAACUAAAGCGCCUAGUCCCUGAACUUGAGCAACAUAUGCCUUGAGCAGCGGAACUGCGAUUAGGCGACUCGUCUUGCGCCUAGUAGACGUCUAAUCCGAAUUCAGACCGGGCCAAGGCGACGAGGAUCGUGAGGAGAGCGACCCAGCGACGCCAGGCCAGUCUGGACCGAGACGGCGAAAGGAAGAAGAGGUGCAGAAGAAGACGAGGCGAGGAUGUAGACGAGGCAAAGAAGUAGACAAAGCGAGGAAGAAGACGGGACGAUCAGAGCCAGAGGCAGCCGAAGGACAGCGACGUUCGCCCGACUUGAAUAGUAUUAACAUGGCGAGCAAAAUGAAAGCUUCAGAAAAUAUUCAAGUAAAAGAAAAAAAAGGAAAAACAAUUGCAUUUUCAACUUCAGAAUUUAAAAAAAAAUAGGAGAUCAAUCAGCUAGUAGGAUAAAUAGACGAAAUCAUUGGUGGAAAAACUUUUAUUAAUCAGAAAAAAUAAAGACUUUUAAGUUUAUUUUAAAUAGCAAUGAUGGCGUACGUAUUCAAUGUAACGUUUCAAUGUAAUUAUGUCGAAGUUGGUUUCAGAAGUAAAACAUGAGCUAAACUAAAGUCUAUGUAUUUUAUAUUAUAUGUUUAUUGUCUUUUUUCGUUAAAGUGUCAUCUAAUCAAUAUUCAUAUUAAUUUGUAGAAAAUUUUAUUAGAAAGUGUAACUGUCACUAAGGCAAAAAAAUAUUCGAAUGGAAAUAUAUUUUAUGUCAUGUAUAUAAUAUAAACAAUCUUGUAUAUGAUUUACUCAAAUCAUUAUCUUUUUCUCCAGUGUGAGAGGACGGCGAAGUUUGCCGCCUCCAGUGUGAAAGGGCAGUGAAGUUAGCUGCGCAUCAAAAAUGAUAAGGAAUUGCUUUUCCAUCUUUUUUACAUAUCUUCACGUCUAGAUGGUGCGUUCCAUGGUUUUUGGUGUCUAGGUAAAUAAAUCAUACGAGGGCGGUGUCUAGGU